UAACUUACUGUCCUUUCGAUCCAAUUAUACAAUCACUAUAUUGUAUUAUGCUUACAAGCGGAGUUUUUUUAAACGCUAUGUGUUUCCAGCAACACUUAAAACUAAAUGGCAAAAAUGUUAGACAUAAAAUGCAUGUUUAGAAAAUAUGGAUAUACCAGAUCAGUUAUUAGCCAGUUAUUGGUUUGUGAGUCAAUUGGCUAUUAUAAAUCAAUAUCAGAUUAAUGGAACAAAUGUUUAUUAUGAUAACAACAUUUUGUUUGUAUUAUAACAACAUAAUAGUUUGAUCCCAAAUUAUUGAUUUGGACUGAACUAGGUGCCGGUACUCAUUUUGGGUGCCGGUAUUGUUUACAUUAAGGUUCAGGAGCUCCAUAAUUCUUUUGAGCUAAUGCUCUUAAAGAGGCACAUGAGCUCAAGCAUCCGGUGAGCUCCUACCCAAGUCAAUUAUUUCCUCUGAGAAAGUGUGACUUGUUGUAUUCUCAGAUAUCCAGAUUGAAGGGGGAAAUUAUAGCGAACCAUGACAAUUUCUAUAUUACAUCUUGUCAAACUCGGGAUUGAUCUUUCGCGGCUUAAAGUAUUCAGCGUUGAUUCGUUCCACGCGGAACUAAAAUAAAGACAUGUCUUGGGGGGAGAUACCACACCCGGAAGCAACAUGCGUGUUUCCCACAACAACACGUGGUGUGGUAAAACCGAUAAAUGCGCCCCCAGUCCCCUUAAUCAGUCUUUCUCACCUACUGCGGUUCGAGGAAUAUUAUUUAAGACAAGAGGACAUCAGCACAUGUGGUUGAUUUCGCCAUAAGCUACCAAUUCAUUAAAUUUGAUAUUAAGUUAGUUAUUUUUUAAUAGCUGUUUUUGUUAGAUAAUGUUAUUUGAUUCUAACUCAGUUUUGGAUUAUUUGCUAGCAGUUGGCUGGUAAGUCAUUUUGGUGGCUAGCUUGCUAGGCUAGCGUUAGGCUAGCCUAAAAUAUCUUGAUAUUUUAGUUUUAUCCGUCUUUUUUAUUUUUUAUUAAAAUUGGUUCAAUAAACUGACCAUUCAAAGGCCUUGGCUACGGUAAGCAUCUCAUAAGUGUUUUCUUAACUGUUUGUGUCUGAGGAUUGGGCCUAACUAUCUAAAGUUAUUUUUAACCACGAAUUCGAGUGCCUUAGGCCCUUAAAUAGACAGUAAGCAGGUAUUGGGCACGAACUCUACAGCCGCUAGUUUGAUGUUUAGUAUUCCAUUUGAACCAUGAUGGCAGCAUCUCUAAACGUCGUUAUUUUUUAGGGAAUUUGGCUCAGAGGACUAGCCAUUUGGCUUGCUACCUGGGUAAUUACUAUUACAUCGCUAACGUAACUUACCUGUGACCACUUGCAAAUGUUGUCGUCAAACCCAAAAUGAUGAUUUGCAUGUGAGUCCGUGUUUCAGCUGAACCUCGUGAUUAUAAAUUCACUGCACUGACUGGGUAGACUGAAUGUCAACGUUUAACACUUGUGAAAAUGUGACUAUAGGUAACUGACUCGUGUUUGUGUCACUUUAGAGAAUCAAAGAUCAAAAUCCUUGCUCUGCUGGAAAAUCGGGUAAUGGGAACUGCCACUGUAGGAAUGAUCACCGCUUCCAUUCAACCCCUGGAUGAUCUGUAAUCUAGUUUGAGGUCAAAUGUAUGUAUCUAUUGACUACGUAUGUACUCAACAGUCGCUAACCAGAUGCGUUUUGUCUGAGGCACUGUCGAAUUGGUUCAAAAUUGUACAAAAUGUUACUUGUUUGGAAGUGUUCAAUAAAUGCAGUGAAUGUUGA